AGUGAACGCUGGCGGCGUGCCUAAUACAUGCAAGUCGAACGGGGUGGCGCACGGGUGAGUAAUGUAUAGCUAAUCUGCCCUACACUAGAGGACAACAGUUGGAAACGACUGCUAAUACUCUAUAGUGUAGGAUGAGGCUAUAUUGUAUCAGCUAGUUGGUGAGGUAAUGGCUCACCAAGGCUAUGACGCAUAACUGGUCUGAGAGGAUGAUCAGUAUCACUGGAACAGAGACACGCUAGAGACUCCUCCGGGAAGCAGCGGUAGGGAAUAUUGCUCAAGGCGGGAAACCCUGAAGCGGCAACGCCGCGUGGAGGAUGACACUUUUCGGAGCAUAAACUCCUUUUGUUAGGGAAGCGGUACCUAACGAAUAAGCACCGGCUAACUCCGUGCCAGCAGCCGCGGUAAUUC
rnacentral:rRNA from 1 species